CCUACGGGAGGCUGCAGUGGGGAAUAUUGCACAAUGGGGGGAACCCUGAUGCAGCAACGCCGCGUGGGUGAAGAAGUAUUUCGGUAUGUAAAGCCCUGUCAGCAGGGAAGAAGAUGACGGUACCUGACUAAGAAGCCCCGGCUAACUACGUGCCAGCAGCCGCGGUAAUACGUAGGGGGCAAGCGUUAUCCGGAUUUACUGGGUGUAAAGGGAGCGUAGACGGCAGUGCAAGUCUGGAGUGAAAGGCGGAGGCCCAACCCCGGGACUGCUCUGGAAACUGGAGGGCUGGAGUGCAGGAGAGGUAAGGGGAAUUCCUAGUGUAGCGGUGAAAUGCGUAGAUAUUAGGAGGAACACCAGUGGCGAAGGCGGCUUACUGGACUGUAACUGACGUUGAGGCUCGAAAGCGUGGGGAGCAAACAGGAUUAGAUACCCCAGUAGUC
rnacentral:rRNA from 1 species